CAACAAGCUAUAGAUGAAAAGAUCAUUGACAAAUGGAUCUCGGAAUGUGAUUCAAAGUCUUGGAAAAAAGGACAGAAGGAAAUCACAAAAAUGUUUUCUUCUGCAUCAUGUUUAAAUGGGAGCUUUCUUGAUAAAAGUUGUGACAAACAUUACCAAACCUCACCAAAACAGUCUGGUCUGGAUUUUUCACUCGUCCAAGGCGCAUUCCGGAAGCUGGCGAAAAAGGACAAAGUUUUGACUGAGGUUGAAGCUGUUGUCCAGCACACACUGCUUCCCUCCCUGUAUGAGGAGCCCAUUGGAGUGGAGGGCUUGAGGGUCUACCUGGUUCUCCCUGAGCUCCUGAGGGUCCUUCACAAACAGCACAGAAGGACAGAUCUCACCGAAGCCGUUGCUGCUGCUAUCCUCAGACUGCAC